AUUGAACGCUGGCGGCAGGCCUAACACAUGCAAGUCGAACGGUAACAGGAAGAAGCUUGCUUCUUUGCUGACGAGUGGCGGACGGGUGAGUAAUGUCUGGGAAACUGCCUGAUGGAGGGGGAUAACUACUGGAAACGGUAGCUACUACCGCAUAACGUCGCAAGACCAAAGAGGGGGACCUUCGGGCCUCUUGCCAUCGGAUGUGCCCAGAUGGGAUUAGCUAGUAGGUGGGGUAACGGCUCACCUAGGCGACGAUCCCUAGCUGGUCUGAGAGGAUGACCAGCCACACUGGAACUGAGACACGGUCCAGACUCCUACGGGAGGCAGCAGUGGGGAAUAUUGCACAAUGGGCGCAAGCCUGAUGCAGCCAUGCCGAGUGUAUGAAGAAGGCCUUCGGGUUGUAAAGUACUUUCAGCGGGGAGGAAGGGAGUAAAGUUAAUACCUUUGCUCAUUGACGUUACCCGCAGAAGAAGCACCGGCUAACUCCGUG
rnacentral:rRNA from 1 species